rnacentral:rRNA from 1 species
UACGUAGGGGGCAAGCGUUAUCCGGAUUCACUGGGUUUAAAGGGUGCGUAGGCGGAUAGGUAAGUCCGUGGUGAAAUCCUGCAGCUUAACUGCAGAACUGCCGUGGAUACUAUCUAUCUUGAAUGUCGUGGAGGUUAGCGGAAUAUGUCAUGUAGCGGUGAAAUGCUUAGAUAUGACAUAGAACACCCAUUGCGAAGGCAGCUAACUACGCGAUAAUUGACGCUGAUGCACGAAAGCGUGGGGAUCAAACAGG